rnacentral:snoRNA from 1 species
UAUAAUGAUGAUCAUCAAAAAUUUAAUAACUUUCGUUCUUCCGAUUAUUGAACAAACGUUCUUGUGGAAAUCUUAUUCAAUUCUGAAA